ensembl:rRNA 5S_rRNA 5S ribosomal RNA
GUCUACAGCCAUACCACCCUGAACACACCUGACCUCGGAAGCUAAGCAAGGUCAGGCCUGGUUAGUAGUUGGAUGGGAGGUUAUAUUUGGAAAGCAAUAGAAU